GGCGAGUGGCGAACGGGUGAGUAAUAUAUCGGAACGUACCCUGGAGUGGGGGAUAACGUAGCGAAAGUUAAGCUAAUACCGCAUACGAUCUAAGGAUGAAAGUGGGGGAUCGCAAGCACUCAUGCUCCUGGAGCGGCCGAUAUCUGAUUAGCUAGUUGGUGGGGUAAAGGCCUACCAAGGCAUCGAUCAGUAGCUGGUCUGAGAGGACGACCAGCCACACUGGAACUGAGACACGGUCCAGACUCCUACGGGAGGCAGCAGUGGGGAAUUUUGGACAAUGGGCGAAAGCCUGAUCCAGCAAUGCCGCGUGAGUGAAGAAGGCCUUCGGGUUGUAAAGCUCUUUUGUCAGGGAAGAAACGGUGAGGGCUAAUAUCCCUUGCUAAUGACGGUACCUGAAGAAUAAGCACCGGCUAACUACGUGCCAACAGCCGGGGAAAUACGUAAGGUGCAAGCGUUACUCGGAAUAACGGGGCGGUAAGCGUGCGCAGGCGGUUUUGUAAGUCUGUCGUGAAAUCCCCGGGCUCAACCUGGGAAUUGCGAUGGAGACUGCAAGGCUAGAAUCUGGCAGAGGGGGGUAGAAUUCCACGUGUAGCAGUGAAAUGCGUAGAGAUGUGGAGGAACACCGAUGGCGAAGGCAGCCCCCUGGGUCAAGAUUGACGCUCAUGCACGAAAGCGUGGGGAGCAAACAGGAUUAGAUACCCUGGUAGUCCACGCCCUAAACGAUGUCUACUAGUUGUCGGGUUUUAGUUAACUUGGUAACGCAGCUAACGCGUGAAGUAGACCGCCUGGGGAGUACGGUCGACACGAUUAAGACUCAGAGGAAUAGACGGGGACCCGCACAAGCGGUGGAUGAUGUGGAUUCAUUCGAUGCGACGGGAAAAACCUUACCUACCCUUGACAUGUACGGAAGCCACGAGAGAUCGAGGUGUGCUCGAAAGAGUACCGUAACACAGGUGCUGCAUGGCUGUCGUCAGCUCGUGUCGUGAGAUGUUGGGUUAAGUCCCGCAACGAGCGCAACCCUUGUCAUUAGUUGCUACGAAAGGGCACUCUAAUGAGACUGCCGGUGACAAACCGGAGGAAGGUGGGGAUGACGUCAAGUCCUCAUGGCCCUUAUGGGUAGGGCUUCACACGUCAUACAAUGGUACAUACAGAGGGCCGCCAACCCGCGAGGGGGAGCUAAUCCCAGAAAGUGUAUCGUAGUCCGGAUUGUAGUCUGCAACUCGACUGCAUGAAGUUGGAAUCGCUAGUAAUCGCGGAUCAGCAUGUCGCGGUGAAUACGUUCCCGGGUCUUGUACACACCGCCCGUCACACCAUGGGAGCGGGUUUUACCAGAAGU
rnacentral:rRNA from 1 species